rnacentral:rRNA from 2 species
UAGGGAAUCUUCGGCAAUGGACGAAAGUCUGACCGAGCAACGCCGCGUGAGUGAAGAAGGUUUUCGGAUCGUAAAACUCUGUUGUUAGAGAAGAACAAGGACGUUAGUAACUGAACGUCCCCUGACGGUAUCUAACCAGAAAGCCACGGCUAACUACGUGCCAGCAGCCGCGGUAAUACGUAGGUGGCAAGCGUUGUCCGGAUUUAUUGGGCGUAAAGCGAGCGCAGGCGGUUUCUUAAGUCUGAUGUGAAAGCCCCCGGCUCAACCGGGGAGGGUCAUUGGAAACUGGGAGACUUGAGUGCAGAAGAGGAGAGUGGAAUUCCAUGUGUAGCGGUGAAAUGCGUAGAUAUAUGGAGGAACACCAGUGGCGAAGGCGGCUCUCUGGUCUGUAACUGACGCUGAGACUCGAAAGCGUGGGGAGCAAACAGG